rnacentral:rRNA from 1 species
AACGAACGCUGGCGGCAGGCCUAACACAUGCAAGUCGAACGGAUGUAGCAAUACAUUAGUGGCGCACGGGUGCGUAACGCGUGGGAAUAUCCCCUUGAGUGCGGAACAAUGUCUGGAAACGGACACUAAUACCGCAUAAUGACUUCGGUCCAAAGAUUUAUCGCUCAAGGAUUAGCCCGCGUUAGAUUAGCUAGUUGGUGAGGUAAUGGCUCACCAAGGCGACGAUCUAUAGCUGGUCUGAGAGGAUGAUCAGCCACACUGGGACUGAGACACGGCCCAGACUCCUACGGGAGGCAGCAGUGAGGAAUAUUGGACAAUGGGGGCAACCCUGAUCCAGCCAUGCCGCGUGAGUGAUGAAGGCCUUCGGGUUGUAAAGCUCUUUCAGAUGCGAAGAUAAUGACGGUAACAUCAGAAGAAGCCCCGGCUAAAUUCGUGCCAGCAGCCGCAGUAA